AAAAAAAAAAAAAAAAAAAAAAAAAAAAAAACAACAAAACCGAUCCCUUUUCGUAAACACACGACGGGCUCCGAACGAGGGAUACUAAAUAUCGUUUCGAAUGGCUUGCUACACAGUAUAUAGAUAGGUAGGUAGGUAGCUAUAGGUACCUAUGUGUGUGCCGUACGAUAUUAUUUCGCGUCUCCGAUAUCCGGUCUAUACCGCGGUGUAAUAUUCUCGGUUUCUCACGGACGCGCGUAUAAUGCGUACCUACACGUACAUAUACAGGAGGAUGCGUUUGUUACAAUACGUAUUGUAUACAGACGGGUAUACGCACGAAAAACGCCGUAAUGUACGGUAUAAAACGCGUCGUCGGUAGACUGUCUACCAAUAUACUCGAUACUCUAAACGGUAUUGUUUCAAAAGAAUGAAUACCGAGCCGCAUUGGUUUCGUCAAGAGCCGCUGAUGAUCGAAUCUACUGCAAUUACAGCGAAUCGUUCUAUUUGACUUUCGGACUUGGAACGUGAGAACGUUUAUGUCGUUUUUCUCAACGGAGCUUCCUGUAGCUCGUUUAAAAAUUUAAAUAUCCAGAAAACCGUCUGCGCCCUUAAGUCUGACUAGUCAGCUGGUCGAUUCGUUCCGUUAUCGAGACCGCACAGCGCGCAAAGUUGUCCCCGUCGAACGGAAAUAAUCGCCGCGUCUUUUCACUCGUCUUCUUAAAAAAAAUCGACAUGGGUAUGGUAUACACGAUAAUAUUAUUAACGUUUUUUCUCUCUCUCUCUCUCUCUAUCUCUCUCUCUCUUUAUAGAUGUUGCGGACCGAGACUACGUAUUCUUAUUAUUAUCGUUACAUAGUAGUUAUACGAACGCGUUGUACGCGAUCCACGUCCCCCGAAGAUCGUCACUCGUCAACGAUUCCGUCGAAGACGACAAUGCCUGCAAUAAAUAAUUAUUGUUGUCGUUAUCUAUUUAUUUUAUACGAGCCGUGACGGAUUCUACGCGCGCGAUUCGUCCGUGAUCUGGUCGUCCAUUAAUUGUUUCGACGAAACACCG